UACCCAUGGCAUGUGGAGGUUCCCAGGCUAGGGGUCGAAUCGAAGUUACAGCUGCCGGCCUACACCACAGCCACAGCAACUCAGGAUGCUCAACCCACUGAGCAGGGCCAGGAAUCAAACCCACAUCCUCAUGAAUCCUAGUCAGAUUCAUUUCUGCUGUGCCACGAUAGGAACGCCACAGACAAGACUCCAUCAAUACUGUGCUAAAAAGACAGUUAUCCUUGACUUCAAAAUGAAUGCAGCAUUUCUUCCAGCCCAUGCUGGACCAACUCAACUCUGGUGACGUACUGUGUGUCUGGCACUGGAAAGGCCUGGAGAAAUCAGCCUCUUAACCCGGCAAACCUCUUGCCUUUCACUGUAAUGUUAGAAGCUCCUUCCUACUGUGCUGGAGGGUCAUGCAGGUGCUUCACUUCCAAAAGUCCUUUACGUUCUUGACAAGAACUUUCUAAAGGCCGGCCCGGUGGCCAUCCAGCAAGUCCAUGGAGUGUUGACCCAGUUUCAAUACGGUUUUUUAAAAAUGAGGGUUAACAACAUGCCCAUCUGUGGCCACAGUUGGGAAGCUGCCAUGAGAUUUCUUCCCUGUUUGAAGCCGGGUUUGGGUAGCUGGAAGCAGACUGGCUUGUGCUGGCAGCUCCAAGCCAGUUCAUGCAUAAUUCAUCCAAAUGGAUGGAACAGGCCCAUCAGGGACAAACCUUGGCCUGUUUUCCCCAGUUCAUCAUCAGAUUUGCUCUCUGUUUUGAUCUCAGUGGCCCUGUAAUCCUUCCCCUUUGCUAUCGACGAAGCUAGUGUUAGAUAAUGACGCGAGUUAUCGGUGGCAGAUGGACCAGGACCCUUCUGAUGAACACAGACAGGUUUCAAGCCCAGCCAAUGAGCCAGGAGGGGGGAGAAAGCCCAAGAACGGGAUUACACACAUGAAGAAAAGCAGCCCCCACCUAGGUAGGGUGAAAGAUGUGAAACGGCCAGAGAACCCACGUUUAAAGCCCCAUCCAUCACCCGGUCCUCCGUCAGGCCCCGAGAUGAAACAGCUUCCCAGCAUCUGCGUCCUGUGAUUUUGGGCUCUGAACAUUAUUUCGUUAGGAAGUGACUGAGGAGGACGUGCUGUAAUGCAUUUUGUGUCACUUUUCCAGAGGCUGUAGGUUACAAAUGGUCUGGGUUAAUCAGAAUUAUAAAUGAGCAACUUCAUUUCCAAGGUUUUUUUCCUCACAUCAUGAGCUGCUCAGGCCUGCGUCCCCAUCUUCUUCAGCCUCUCACCCAGCCAAGGGAAAGCCAGACUCCCUGCUCCUAUCAAGAAGCCGGCCAUGAGCCUACCCUGCAAAGCCCUCUGGCAGCUUCCCGGGGCCCGGGAGAGAUUCUUCACAACCCCAGUCCCUUCUCCCCUGCCUCCUUGCCUGCUCACGGCCUCAACUUCCAGCCACUCUGCUCUUUUUCUCCCAGGUGGAUCCCUCUGGAAUAGAAGCGGAUGGCACUUUCCACAGCUGUAACUAAUUAAUUAAUUGUGCGACGAUGGCUCAGAGCAACUCCGUCUCUGUAAAGUGCAGGCUCCACCCAAGGGUUUCCAUCACCUUGGGAACAGGCUUUGGUCGCUGGGGACAGAGGCACCUGUGCCGACAGCUCCCAGCCCAGUCUGGGCAUCAAUCCCAGAGGUGGACAGAACCGGACACCGUGCUUUACUCACUGUGUACCCCCAAGGGCCCACUAGAGCACCCAAGGCAGAGCCGGGGCUCACAAGACACCCAUGCCAUGAGCCAAAUAAACAAGUGAGCAAACCAACCUCAGUGCUACAAAGGCUCAUCAUCACUGCAUCUCCCUCCUCCUGCAUCUGGGGAAGGACAGCAUCUAAGACAUGCAGCUCCCUGGUCUUGGUGCAGAACCAGAAUCCAAGUCUGACGGUUGACAGUCCACUGUUCUAUCAUCAUUCCCAAGCUGGAGGCAGGGGACAAGGACCCACAUGGCCACUGCAACAUGCUAGAUGCAUUCCAUUCCUCCUAGAACUGAUGCUCCUGGACUGUUAGCAAGUUAACAGUCGGCUAGAGCCGAGCCAGACUUCUUGACUGGGCCCUCAGGAAACUGUGAAUUGUCAAAAGUCUAUUUUUCUUCCCAUUCGAAACGUGGAUUCAGAGCCGUGAUGAAUGUCUUGGAGCCUAACAGCUCCCUCAGCAAAAUGGCUGAGGAAAGGCAUCGAGUUUUUUCCUUAGCUCUGGAUCUCUAAGGACAACACUGAAUGUUCAAGUCUAAGUUUAAAGGGGCCCUGGAGUUCCACUCCUGCCCCAGCAUGCAUGACCUCUGGGAAAGGCUUUCGCGUCAAUCCUGGACAGGCCCUGGGUCAUGACCUCUGAUGGUGCCCUUUCACCGCCUGUCAGGCUCUGGUUUUGACCGCUAAGGUUUGUGGAUUUCCUUUAAACUGGAGGCACCCUAACAAAGCUUUGCUUCCUUCUCCUGCAGCAUCCGCAGGCCUGGGGGGCCGGAGCCGAUCAAGAUGGAGAUGUAAAUUACUCAUUUCCUCUCCAGGUGGAGCGCAGUCUACCUAUGAAUGGGUUGUUUUACAAAUCAUCUGCAAGGCUUGUUCUAAAACAGGAUGUCUUUACACUAGAAACAGGACUCUGUAUAUGGUUCCCUUCCCAGAUCAGACUCCCAGUCCCAAAGUGCAAUCUUCAAAGCCUAUGAUUACAUAAACCAGGGAACGCUGGCUACCCACCCCGGCACAUCCACUUCCUCUCGCCUUCAAAAAAAAGAAUCCCCAUUUUAGCUGGGCACACUGAGAUUGGUUGUGAAAGAAAACACGUCUUCAGCACCUGAGCGGGGUCGUGCGAUGAUAAGUGGGAUACAAGGGAAUGGUUACAGGGACUUCCCCAAAAGCUGCUUAAAGGGAAAUGCCCUUUUUGCUCUUCAGUGCCAUGCCACACAAACAUGAGAGCUGGCGCUUCAGCAGCCACUUUGGAAGCUAUGGGCUCAGAUGGUAGACUGGAAGGACCUUGCUCCUAGUGGUUGUAGAGCUGUUCCCAAGCCCUGCCUAACCCCUCCCACAGCCUUUCCACAUAGGAAAGAAACAAAUGCUUUUAUUUAAUCUCCUAAUAUUGGAGAGUUUUUCUACUGUAUACAGCUGCACGUCCUUCUUAACUGAUGCGUCCGUGAAUCAGUGUCUUUAUGAGAAAACGCAACGUCUAUAAUACACCUAUUCAUGAACCCUCUCCGGCAGUAAUGACGAAAAGAACACGGACACACCUCCGAAAAAGAAUAGGCAGGGACACUGGAACACUUCAUGGUGGACACACAUGGUAUCUGUCAGCAGCCACAAUGUUGCAGAAGGGAAGUAUGAAUUACUGCCCCCCCAUGAGGAAAUUGAGGUUCAAAUAGCUUAAGAAUCUGCUAAAUAGCCAAGUAAGAGUUAACAUAUUUGGCAUGAGACAGACAUAGAUAUGGUAACAGGUAGGAAAUGCUAACAUACAUAAAGGUACCUACCAUACAGCUGAUACUCCAAAGAUACCAGUUCCCAUCUGAAUUUUUAGAAAGCCCUUCCUGCAACACAAAAUACAUACUCCUCCCCCCCCAAUGUUUAAGAUAUGCCUUAUCAGAUUAUUUUAUUUGGGAGGUCACAUACACAGACACCUGCCAUCAUUUAAUUUAAAAAGCUCUGGAGGCCCUGCCAACACCCCCUUAAUCUUGAACUUCUAGCCUCGGGCUGUAAGAGACCGUGACAUUUUAUUUCUGUCGUAUUAGGCAGGUUUAGAGCAUCAAAGAGCACUGACUAGUGAAAGUGUAAUACUGAGAUCUGAUUCUGUGUAUCUGAACAGCAGCACUCUCUCUUUCGAGGGUGCUACGCAUCGGACCUCUAGUUUUCGCUCGCCGCCACCACUGCUCUGCGGUCCAUGCCUCAACUCCUCGGAGGCUGCACCAGGCUCUGGGGUGCUGGCUGAGAUCUCUGACCAAUGCUCUGCUUCAUCCGUCACUUAAGUGAGAAAAGCUGUGUCAAAUAUACCAACAAACAAGGCUGCGAAUUAGAUCUGCGGACACGACUUGAUCUUACCCUGGAACUGUAAGCAAGCCUUGUACACAAUGGAAUCUUGUGUAUCUUUGCCUAAUUCUAAACUCCACGUUCUAUUCUUCCGAAAUUAACAUAAUCAAGUUUAGUAUACUUAUGCUCAGAAUGCCAAAUGAAUACACACGACAUCGUCGGUACUCCAGAGUCUCACGAGCCUGGGAUGAGGAAGCCCAAUUACGAUCAUUUAAAGACGGAAAGAAUAAUUUCCUGAAAUUGCCUGCAAGAAAAAGAGAUUUUCUUCCCCUGGAAAAAUUCACAAUAUGCCAUAAAUGAGACACUUGUCUCUUGAGCUUCCAUACAAUUUAGUUAAAAACAAAAAAACCUCCCACAGAAUCAGUAAAAUAGUCUCAACUCAUAUGAACUUCAAAUUUAUAGAACUUUAUGAAAAAUUCACAAAUAUCAAAAUGUUCUCAAUGUAAAUGAGUUAAUCUCAAUAACUCAGCAUUUCCCUUGGUAGACUUAGCACUUCUCCUACCAGGCGAUAAAAGGAUUUGGAUUUGGGAUUUUUAUGUGUGUGCUAUAUUUAAUAUAUAUACAUCAGAUUUCCCCAACCACCCAAAUGACUCCUAAAAAUACAUUACAUGGAACUAUAAGUCAAUCACACUGUUCGUCUAUCUCUUUGACAUUUAAAAUAUUUGGUAUUUUUCCAUUCAUUUUCCUGCUCAUAUGGAGACACAUGCUUACAGCAAAACAAGGACUUUUACAACUUCACAAUGAAAAGAUAAACAGCCCAAUUAUAACGUGGACCAAGGAUCUGAAUAGAUAUUUCUCCAAAAGUGUCAUAUCAUGACCAGUGAACACAUGAAAAGAUAUUAAAAUCACUAGCCAUGAGGGACCGUAAAGUCAAAAUCACAGUGAAUACCGCUUUCACGCCAACCAGGACCGCGGGAAUCAAGAAGAUCCACACUAAGAAGUACUGGCAAGGACAUGGAGAAGUUGGAAGCUUCAUACAUUGCUGACAAGACUGUCAAGUGGUGCAGCUGCUUCAGAAGCUCCCCAGCGGUGCAUCAAAGUGCUAAACAUAAAGUUACAUGUGACCCAGCAAUUCACUCCCAGGUAUACACCCGAGCAAACUGCAAACAUGUAUGUACACACAACCUGCAAUGCAUGAGUGUUAUUCACAAAAAGUGCACACAACCCCAAAGCCCAUCAAGUUGAUACCUGGAUAAAGAAAACGUGGCAUAUACCAUACAAUAGGAUAUGACCCGGCCAUUGAAAGAAUGAAGUACUAGUUCAUUCCACAACAAGAAUGGCUCUGGAAACAUGACGCUAAGUGAAAGAAGCCAGUUACCAAAGACUACUUACUGUGUUAUUCUGUUUAUAUGAAAUGUCCCGAAGAGACAAAUCCACAGAUACAGAAAGCAGAUUAGUGGUUGCCAGGGGUUGGGAGAAUGGAGAAAUGAAGACUGAUAAUGAGGAUGGAAUUUCAUUUAGGGGUGCUGAAAAAAAAUAUAUAUAUAUAUUUCUGUCUUUUCUAGGGCUGCACCCGUGGCAUAUGGAGGUUCCCAGGCUAGGGCUGUAAUGGGAGCUGUAGCCACCGGCCUAUGCCACAGCCACACAGGAUUCAAGCAGCGUCUGCGACCUACACCACAGCUCACAGCCACGCCGGAUCCUUAACCCACUGAGCAAGGCCAGGGAUCGAACCCACAACUCCAUGGUUCCUAGUCAGAUUCGUUAACCACUGAGCCAUGACGGGAACUC
rnacentral:lncRNA from 1 species